rnacentral:rRNA from 1 species
AUGAACGCUGGCGGCGUGCUUAACACAUGCAAGUCGAACGAAGAGGGUUAGAAUGAGAGCUUCGGCAGGAUUUCUUUCCAUCUUAGUGGCGGACGGGUGAGUAACGUGUGGGCAACCUGCCCUGUACUGGGGAAUAAUCAUUGGAAACGAUGACUAAUACCGCAUGUGGUCCUCGGAAGGCAUCUUCUGAGGAAGAAAGGAUUUAUUCGGUACAGGAUGGGCCCGCAUCUGAUUAGCUAGUUGGUGAGAUAACAGCCCACCAAGGCGACGAUCAGUAGCCGACCUGAGAGGGUGAUCGGCCACAUUGGGACUGAGACACGGCCCAA